AGUCGGCUGCCCCUGUAUCAGGGGGAAUACGGCCCACUGGCCUAUGCAGGCUCUGCGGCCUAGUCCUCAGGCUGAGCUUCCCACUCGCCGGGGUUCAGGGCAGGAGGAGUAGGGGGGCCUGGGCCCUCCCUCUCCACCGGGCCCCGACCCAGGGCCCUAUGAGCGGCAGGAAAGGAAAUCGACAUUCGUGUGGGUCUUCCCCGGAUGAUGGGCUAUACUGAAGUCGUAAGUCUGCAAAGACAGGUCUGAAUUGACAGCUAAAGGGUACAAGUCAAAACAAGAUCAGCACUCCAUGAAGAACUUUAGGGUAUUGCCUGGCCAGUAUGUGAUUAUGGUCCAUGAAGUGACCAUGCCUCCAUUCUUGGGCCAGACUCUCCUACCUGCUUUCAAGCUCUUGAGGGUUUUUUCCAGAGAGAACCAAAAUCAAGAACAUUAAAAAGGAAACUGUGCAAGCCACCACCAUAUAAAAAGUUCCAAAUGAGGUAUGUUGUGGACUGGUCAAUUUGUAACUCUGAAGUUCGUAACUCUGAGAUUCUAUUAUUUGUAAACUGUGUGUAUUUUAACAGAAUUUCAUUCAAAUGAACUGGAGUAUAUGCAACAAUUUAAUCAGAUAAUGAUGAUCCUAUACAACCUGUUGAACCAGCCGGGCUCCUAAUGGAAGAAAAUCUUCACAGCAAAUUAACUUGUAUAUGAACACCUCUGUAAUGACAUGUUUACUAAUAUAUUGGUCUGUGCAUAAAGUCUUGUUCAUUAACUACAUAUUAAAAACACCUGCCCACUACAAGAUGGCAACAAGGCUACUAUCUUCUCUCUUAAAACUGGUUCCUGUGAUAAACUAAGGAGGAUAAAAGCUGGGUUAAUUAUUCAAAAAAUGUCUUUGUUGAAUAGUCCAUAAAUGAUGGUCAGUGAUGUUUACCUAAUUGUAAUAUAUUUGUAUUUAGUGGCAUCUACUGUUGGAGAUGUAAUAUAGAAUCCCAUACUGGGUGAAAAGUUCAAGGUAUACCCAUAAAACACAUGAAAGUUUGCCAUGCAACAAGAAAAGAACAGAGCUCUGAGUGUAAAAUGGGAUCAGAGAAAAAUCAAAAAUUUUAAAACAUUAAAUAGGAGCUCCUAGAAAAACAAAAUCAUUACUAUCUGUCAAGGGUCUAUCAGUGUGAUUCACCACCCAAUGCCAACAUCUAAAAUGAAAACUUCAGCAGAAAAAUAGAGAAGGGGGAAAUAUGGUAAAAGUGAAAAUGGAAAAUUGUCUUUGAUGUGUCUGUUUGUUAAUUUAGAAUUCCCAUUUCAAUCAUCUUAACUUUUUAAAAAAUAGUUAAAACCUUGCCUGAUUUUUAGCAUUGUAUUAAGUUCAUUGACUGACUGCAGAAUACGGAGAGAAUUAAAGGAGGAAACUGUGCACUGAGCU